AGAGAAUAGAUACCCGGGUAGUCCCAGCCGUAAACGAUGCUCGCUAGGUGUCAGGCAUGGCGCGACCGUGUCUGGUGCCGCAGGGAAGCCGUGAAGCGAGCCACCUGGGAAGUACGGCCGCAAGGCUGAAACUUAAAGGAAUUGGCGGGGGAGCACAACAACGGGUGGAGCCUGCGGUUUAAUUGGACUCAACGCCGGACAACUCACCGGGGGCGACAGCAAUAUGUAGGCCAAGCUGAAGACUUUGCCUGAAUCGCUGAGAGGAGGUGCAUGGCCGUCGCCAGUUCGUACUGUGAAGCAUCCUGUUAAGUCAGGCAACGAGCGAGACCCGUGCCCACUGUUACCAGCAUGUCCUCCGAGACGAUGGGUACUCUGUGGGGUACCGCCUAUGUUAAAUAGGAGGAAGGUGCGGGCCACGGUAGGUCAGUAUGCCC
rnacentral:rRNA from 1 species